rnacentral:rRNA from 1 species
UACGUAGGGGGCAAGCGUUGUCCGGAUUUAUUGGGCGUAAAGAGCGUGUAGGCGGCCAGACAGGUCAGCUGUGAAAACUCGAGGCUCAACCUCGAGACGUCGGUUGAAACCGUCUGGCUAGAGUCCGGAAGAGGAGAGUGGAAUUCCCGGUGUAGCGGUGAAAUGCGCAGAUAUCAGGAGGAACACCAGUGGCGUAAGCGCCUUGCUGGACUGUAACUGACGCUGAGGAACGAAAGCCAGGGGAGCAAAUGGG